GUGGGUUUGAAGCACACAUUAGGGGGAAAUGGCUCUGUUCCUGCAGGUUUGCGCAGUCUGGGUUUCUUAGGUUUAGGGGGUUGGGUGGGUUUCUCUGGGGGUGCGGUGGGAAGCGGAUCAGUUCGGAUAACGGCCCUGAGCAAGAGUCUCUGUCCCGCUCCCGGCCUGACGCGGGGCUUCCAGCGGACACGACCAACGAUUUUAUAGGUUCAGAAAGUGUGUCUCAGAGGAGUUAGAGAAGACCGAUUAAUAGAUGACAGUGCUAAAGCCUGGAUCUCCUGAAUCCUGGAUGAAAGUGUCCUAAGUUAGAUUCCUGGGAAGAAAAUUCUGAGACACAUUCUGCAGGAUGAUUAUUAGGGCUCAUCCUUGGUUUCAACACCCAUAGAAGGAAGGGGGAAGAAGAAAUCGAACAGAGAGACAGAAGUCGAGAUGCAUUUCAGGCCAGGACUCUUGGCUGAACCCACAGGAGCUCUGGAGCUAGAAUGGCCCUUCAGAGUUGUCCUGAGUUGGUCUGAGAUGGCCAGUUCUUUAUAUUCCUGCAUGGGAUAGUCACUGGAUGUCCACCCCAGGAAGGGGUGUGGCCAAGACAGUCCCUAAAAUGCCCGCCAGCACUCCCUACACCUGGAGCGACAAGACCAACAUCACAGGGGGAAUGCACUGGGUGAUGGAUCACAGCGUUCAUCCCAGAAGAUGAGGAUACAGAAUUGGCUGACAACUACGUUCUAAAUGUCAGUGUUCUCCAAAAUUCAUAUGUUGAAACUUAAUUCCCAAUGUGAUGGCAUUAGGAAGUGGGGCCUUUGGGGGAGGGACUAUAGGUCAUGAGGGUGUAACCCUCAUCAAUGGGAUUAGUGUCCAGAGAGCUGCCUUGCCCUUCCACCAUGUGAGGACAUAGUGAGAAGGUGCCAUCUAUGAACUAGGAAGUGGGCGCUUACCACCAGACACCCACUCUUCUGGCAACUUGAUCUUGAAUUUCCCAGCCUCCAGAACUCUGAGAAAUCAAUUUCUGUUAAUUAUAAGCUACCCAGUCGAUAGCAUUUUGUUAAAGCUGCUGGAACUAAACUAAGACACUGACGCUUUCUGCGACAAAAAGAUAGAGUGAGUCUCUAUAGCAUACCAUGUAACAGAUGUUUUUGGAAAAAUAACCUCAUUUCAUAUGUUUCCUCAAGAUAAAAAGAAUGUCAUAACAACAAAUGAGAAAAUAGUUGCUUUAGAAAUAUUGCACCCUAUGGAGAGAGUAUUUUGGAUUUUGGUUUUUUGUUUUGUUUUUUAACUUUUGUUUUAGGUUUGGGGGUACAUAUGCAGGUUUGUUAUAUAGGUAAACUCAUGUCACAGGGGUUUGUUGUACAGAUAAUUUCCUCACCCAGGUACUAAGCCUAGUACCCAAUAGUUGCUUUUUCUCCUCCUCUCUCUCCUCCCACCCUCCACCCUCAAAUAGGCCCCAGUGUAUGUUGUUCUCUUCAUUAUGUUCAUGAAGUUGAGAGAGUGUUUUGAAAAAGAAUGUUGGAAAGCAUUUCCACUGUUAGAUGAUUUUAAGUCAAAAAGUUAUACAACAGUGUGACCUAUUUGCACACAAGCAUGGACACAGAAUUGUGUCAUAUGUUUAAAACUUUUCUAGAUCCUUUUGUGGUUCAUAAGCUUGAUGAUUGAGUUUUCGCGUCCACAUGUGAGAUGUGCCUCCCUUGAGCCUUGUCAUUGGCACAUUACCUGCCUGAUGUGAACAAUAAAAAUAAAAAAUAAAAAUUUGCUAAGCAGAGUUUCUGUGGAUUUCUAACUUAUUUAUAAAAACAAUAAAAAUGUAACAUAUUCCAUUUAGUGUUCAAGAACAACUAAGUAACAGUAAAGAUGGAAAUUUGCUAGCCGAAUUUCAAGAAAAAUCUUUGUACAGUAAGUGGAUGAGAUUGAAAAAAAUGUGUGUCACAAUUCAAAAGUCAGUCAGAAGCCUGGAUAACAUAGUGAGCCUCUGCCUCCACAAAAAUUAAAACUUAAAAAAAUUAGCCUGUAGUCCUGGCUACUUGGGAGGUUGAGGUGGGAGGAUCGCCUGAGCCCACGAGUUUGGGGCCAUGGUGAGGCGUGAUCACACCACUGCACUCCAGCCUGGGCAACAGAGCGAGACCCUGUCUAAAAAAAGAAAAGAAAAAGACAAAAGUCAGUCAGAGGGGCACUGCUUUCAUUUGGAAUUCUUCAUCUUUUUGAGGUAUUAAAGAAAAAUGAUUUCUCACCAUACUGCUGACACCAAAUGUGGGAGUGUGUGUCCACAAGACCCAAUUCUCCAACCCUCUAUACACAAACUGAGUGUCCUACAAUUCAUUUCCUUUUUUUUUUUUUUUUGAGAUGGAGUCUCAAUCUGUGGCCCAGGCUGGAGUGCAGUGGCACGAUCUCAGUUCACUGCAAACUCUGCCUCUUGG
rnacentral:lncRNA from 10 species